AGGCCACUUAUCGCUGGCUCUGGCCUUGGCAACCUCCACCCCCGUCCCGGUCCUCUCAGCCUAUCUCUGGAAACCACUCUUUUCACUCCGAAUCUCAACUUGAAGUUUGGGGAAACUUGACGCAGCCAAAGCCCAUCCUCUGCUCUGCACCUGGCAGGAGACUAAUAGUCAGGGAAGAUGGGCAUGUUGUGGGUGGGGGUGGAGAACGGUGUGUCCCUGACCUGCCCUGACAUGCUAACCUGGAUGCGCUGUUGUCUUGGCCUUCAGCGCCACGUAUUUUCCCUCGACAGUAACUUGGCAAGCUUUUCAUGUCACUCUGGCAUCGCUCAGAUUAUCAGCUACCCUUCAGAAAAAGAGCCCUGCGUUUCGAUGGCUAAGGAACUCUGACAGGAAGAGGAGAGGUCCCGACUAGAGGAGGGGGCAGCAUUCAUCUUUUGGCACCGGUGAGUCAGUUUGCGAAGUUGGCGGCAGCGAGACCCCGAGGCAUCUGGGAGACCCCGGAGUUCUGACUGCCCUACUCCGCUUUCGUUUCCUUCCCCCCACCCCUGGCUUCCCGGGUAUUGGAAGCCAGCUGGGUCCCCGGGGUCGCAGGCCGCCCAGAGGUUCGAGCCGCGCGCCGGGGUGGGGCAGCGCGGGGCACCGCCUCCCUCCAUACCUUCUCUCCCCGUGGAGCACAUAGGAGCUGCGGAAGAAGCCCAGGAGCUCAUUCUCGAUGAGCGCGUUGUAGAUAAUCUUCAGAUUGUAAUUCCUCUGCGCGUCCAGUGUCCUAUUCAGCACCACCACUAAGACCUGGGUUUGCGGGUAGAGGAAAAAACCGGCUACAGGGACAGCCCCGAACGCCCGGUCCUCGGCCAGCUGCACUUUCUCCACCGCCACUCGGGAAGCGUGCAGCACUACGUAGCGGGUGGCGUUCCGGCACGCGAUCUCCACGUUGACCUCCCCGGAGAAGGUGAAGUUCUCCAUGAAGGCGGUGAGCAUCAGAUUGUAGUGCAGCGGCUUCAGGUGGCCCGACAGGCGCAGCUGCGUCCACGGCUCCCACGGCUCCCGCUCCUCCUCCGACGGCGGCUGGGCCGACGUGGUCCCCGGACUGGCCACCCCACCCGCCUCGGGCUGCCAGGAGUCCCCGCCUGCGUGGUGGUUGCGCCGGGCCGAUCCAGGGAGGCUCCCGUUGCCGCCGCGCUCCGGAAAGCCUGAGGGGCCACCGUCGGCGCCUGGCGUGGCACUCGCCCCGCACUCGUCGAAGCGCAGGCUGAGCAGCACAGCGAGCAUUGUGACCGCGAGCAAUGCCACGAGGGACACAGCGAAGGCCAGCACAAGCCGCUUGUGUACGGCGAUGUGGCGCUCCGUGGUGCGGGGUCGCACUCCCACUGAGUCUGCCCACGGGUCGGAGAGCCCCCUGCUGCCAGCCCGAAGCGCGGCGUCGUCUUCCCCCAUCGCGGCUGCGAAGGGUGAGCUGCUCUUCUCGGCCCCCUCCUCCUCCUCCUCCUCCUCCUUCUUCUUCUUCCUCUUCUUUUUCUUCUUCUUUUUCUUCUCCUCCUCUUGCUCCCCCAGCUCGCCGUCCAGGGCCAUCACACCGCCUCCUCCUCCUCCCCCGCCCCCUCUGGCACCCCCCGCGGGCGGGCCACCCGGGCCACAGCCAGAGCAGGCAUCGGAGAGCUCACGCGGGCCGAGGGCGCGCGACUGGGGAUGCUGGCCCGGGUUCUUUUAAGACGGGUUCUGGACACAAGCGACGGCAGCUUCCGCGACCCCCAUCAGCCCCGCCUCACUCUGGACACCGGGCUGUGAGCUCUGGGACGCGCCCAACUUGGAAAGCGUCUUGCUUGCCCAGCGCGCGCUACUUCUCGGACGAGCACCCGGCGGCGGGGCACAUGCUGCCCCCGCCCCUGCGCGCCUGCGGCUCCCGGCUCUCCCUCCCCUGCGCCGCGCUCUCGCCUCGCUUUCCGCGGGAGCCUUCCAACCGGUUCUCGGCUAGGGAGAAGGACGGGAGCGGUGGGAAGAGCGAGGGUGUAGAGAGGGAAGUUAGGGCUUUCGCUUUCUCCCCCCACUCCAGCGGCGGCGUUCGGUCCUCUGGGUGGAAUGUGCUCGCAGCAGCAGUGACGGCGGCCACAGCACGGGAGGCACCCGAGCCAUACACCCUGCAGCUGGAGAGAAAAGGAUGGCCGAGGUGGGAGAGACUAGAGUGAACCAGCAGGAGGAAGUCCCAGGGCCGCGAAGCUACGACGGAGAUCCGUCCUGGAAAAGCCUUCUCCACCCUGGGCACUUUAAGCGGCGGUGGCGGCAAACGGCAGGAGGUUGCAGACCCGACAGCGAGACUCCCUCAUUCCAGUCUUGCUCUGCCCUCCGGAGAUGACAAGUGAGAAAGAAGUGUCCGGCCGGGCCAUCCCCUUCAGGUAGAUGAAGCUCUGGGUUUGCUCCAUAUCCCAAGGGGGAGAGCCGAAGUGCGUAUGUCCGAGCGCGUGUGCAUGUGUGUGCGCGUGUGUGCGUGUGUGUAUAUACACAGGCUUCGGGUUUAGAUUGCCAGGGCUACUCCAGCUGCAUUGAGGGACUGAAACUCCCAGAGAAAGGCAAAGGAGAGGGAGCGCGCGAGGAGGCAGGAAAGGCGGGAGGGAGGGGAGCGACUGAGCGGCAGAGGCAGGCACUGGGAGAUUAGAGAGCUUUUCUCCGCUCUGUCACACCAGACACCCACAGCCACAGAGGGGGUUGCUGAGCCGCCUGCAAGAAGUACAUUGUAAAUCUUCAGCGCAACAAGCCCCGCAGUCACCCCUCUUCCUGACUCCUUAGCCCCACCGCGCUCCAGGGAGAGAUCCUUGGAGCCUUUGGCUAUUAACAUAGAGAGCAAAAGAAGAUCCUGCUAGGGAGAUGUGGCUGUGUCAGAUUUCACAUCAAGCUCGCCAGAGGAUUUGGAGGAUUGUAUGUAAAUUGAAAUAAAUUCUCCAAAACCUGACUACAUAUAUUACAUUAUACUGUGCGAUGUGUCCAGGUGUGCAGUACUAAAAUAAUGUUAGCAAUGAAGCAUUAAAAUCCUCCGGAAGUAAAGGCCAAAGCAAGGUGAUGUUUUCCCCAUAGGAUAAUUCCCAUCUUUAGAUUGGAGAAACGAUUAACACACAAUGUCUACAGUGUAACAUUCAGGACCAAAACCCUGAGACUGAGAAAAGCUGGGCUUAUUAGAACGGUGAACGAAUACAUUCCAUGAUUGGUCAGUUUUUCAUUUCACCUAGCCAUAAUUACUUUCUUGCAGCUUUCCAGUGUUACCAUGAACAUUGUUUUAACUUUGUUAGGAUAGUUAUCAAUAGACCAGUUUGCUGACAGCAGGCAGCAUCAAAAUAGGUUCAUAGCCCAUUGGCUGGUUAUGGACUCUUGUCUGAGUAUAUUGGAGUUUAAAAUUAUACUGCAGAGUAUGUAUAAGUAUGUGGGAUAUCCAACCUUCAGAAUUUGUGCGAAGAACUCUAAUUGGAACAAUAUUCAGAAAACAGCCACCCCAAAGGUGACAUCUAGGAAGCAGGAGUCUCCAGUGUUUAGUAAAACAAAGUGUGAUUGGCUUCUGGGUUAAUUAAAAAAGUGAAUAAUAGAAAAUUAGGUAAUUCCUUUUUACAUGUUUCUUUCAUGUCUUCAAAUCUUGAAGGCAUUUUACAAAUCAUGUCCAUAGCUAUUUUCUUACAAAAAGAACUGGUUAAUGCUUCUGGCUUUGGAGUACUGAAAAUAGACAAUUAAAAUAUUGUGUUUGGCUUUAAAAGCAUGACCAAAGAGAAGAGACCAAUUACACAUUAACCUUAGCUUGAUAACCACUAAAAACACAGCCCUGCUCGAGGAAGCCCUUUUUCAUUUAUCCCCAGAUGGGAUACAUGCUCAAUGCCAUGCAUUCUAAAUGUCCAUUUGAAUCAUUUUUAAAUGAUGAUGAAAAUAAGUGCCAGGGUGGGAUUUUUUAAGCAUGUUGUAUGUGGGCCGUUAGCAACAGACCAAGGGAAAUGCCACAUUCUGUUCAAGUUACUUUUUUCUGCUCUGUUUUUAAAUGUCUGUACUCUUGCUGUCCAUAUGUAUCUGGCUGUAUGCAUUUUAAGAGUUGAGGAGUUGGGGUUCAUUGGUUUGUUUUCACAGAAUCAGGAACUAUAGUGCAAGCAAGUAAGAGGAGCCCUGCGAUCCUCAGCAGGUCACCAGACUUCUCUGACUUUAGGGUUUUAAACUGGUAAUUUAGUAUUACUGAUCCAAUAUCCAUGGAUUGAGUACAUUUGAUUAUCAGAGGCUUCUGGAAUCAUCCCGGGGAGUCUAAGACCCACUGCCUAAAGGAAGAGGUUACCCACUAAGGGAUCUUUAAGACUUUCUCUUUCUAAAACAUUAGUCAAGAAAAGAUUCAAAGAAGGCUUUUUCUGUUUGUCUUUUUUUAAAAAUGUGUACAAAUUUGUGGGAUACAUGAGAAAUUUUGUUACAUGCACAUAAUAUGUAGUGAUCAAAAUCAGGGUAUUUAAGGUGUCCAUCACCUGAGUACAAUACAUUUUUGCAAGGUAUAGUCACCCUACUGUGCUCUCAAACAGUGAACAGCCAGAUUCCUUCUGUCUUGCUGUGUGUUUGUACCCUUUAACCCAGUUCUCUUCAUCUUUCCCCUUUCCCUCACUCACGGUUCUCAGUCUGUUAUCUCUUUCCUCUCUUUACCUCCAUCUGUUCUUCUUUGUAUUUCACUAAUGUGUUUAUGUACUUCUGAAAAUUACUACAAGGAAAGUCUCAAAUAUUUCAGAAUUAAAUAAUACAUUUACCAAUUAAUAAAGUCUCUACUAACUGUGAUUAAAUUAGUAAAUGGAUUAUUUUUUCAGACCCAAGUGGAGUGGACAUAAGAUUAUUAAUAUAGAAUGGACACAACUUACUAGCUCAUGGAUUCCCCUUAAAUGUAACUUUGCAUAAUAAAACUUACUAUCAAGAUCAAGUAGGUAAAUAUUUCUUCCUUUCAUAUCAGUGUUACAAAGGUCUUCAGUGAGUUUUAUUUUUUUAAUUUCUGAAAAUAUAUAGCACGCU
rnacentral:lncRNA from 1 species